UACGUAGGGUGCAAGCGUUAAUCGGAAUUACUGGGCGCAAAGCGUGCGCAGGCGGUUUUGUAAGACAGAUGUGAAAUCCCCGGGCUUAACCUGGGAAUUGCGCUUGUGACUGGGGAGCUCGAGUGCGGCAGAGGGGGAUGGAAUUCCUGGUGUAGCAGUGAAAUGCGUAGAUAUCAGGAGGAACACCGAUGGCGAAGGCAGUCCCCUGGGUCGACACUGACGCUCAUGCACGAAAGCGUGGGGAGCAAACAGG
rnacentral:rRNA from 1 species